rnacentral:rRNA from 1 species
UGGGGAAUUUUGGACAAUGGGCGCAAGCCUGAUCCAGCCAUGCCGCGUGCGGGAAGAAGGCCUUCGGGUUGUAAACCGCUUUUGUCAGGGAAGAAAUCUUCUGAGUUAAUACCUCGGGAGGAUGACGGUACCUGAAGAAUAAGCACCGGCUAACUACGUGCCAGCAGCCGCGGUAAUACGUAGGGUGCAAGCGUUAAUCGGAAUUACUGGGCGUAAAGCGUGCGCAGGCGGUUUUGUAAGACAGAGGUGAAAUCCCCGGGCUCAACCUGGGAACUGCCUUUGUGACUGCAAGGCUUGAGUGCGGCAGAGGGGGGAUGGAAUUCCGCGUGUAGCAGUGAAAUGCGUAGAUAUGCGGAGGAACACCGAUGGCGAAGGCAAUCCCCCUGGGCCUGCACUGACGCUCAUGCACGAAAGCGUGGGGAGCAAACCAGGAUUAGAUAGCCCCUGGUAGUCCACGCCCUAAAACGAUGUCAACUGGUUGUUGGGAAGGUUCCUUCUCAGUAACGUAGCUAACGCGUG